GCCUGGAUGGCGGAAUUGGUAGACGCGCCGGACUCAAAAUCCGGUUCCUUCGGGAGUGGGGGUUCGACCCCCCCUCCAGGUACCA
rnacentral:tRNA from 2 species